AGCCCGGUGGUGUAGUCGGUCAAGCAUACUGGCCUUUGGAGCCGGUGACCUCAGUUCGAAUCUGAGCCGGGCUA
rnacentral:tRNA from 1 species